UUUUAUGCGUGAGGGAUUGCAGUGAAAAGCCCACAGCCCGGAGGGCGCGGACUUGCAACACAAAACCCGGCCCAUC
rnacentral:sRNA from 1 species